rfam:Picea glauca, whole genome shotgun sequence.
CUCAUGGAGAAUUUGAUCCUGGAUCAGGAUGAACGCUGGUGGCAUGCUUAACACAUGAAAUUCAGAUGGGAAGUGGUGUUUCCAGUGGCGAACGGGUGAUUAACACGUAAGAACCUACCCUUGGGAGGGGAACAACAACUAGAAAUGAUUGCUAAUACCCCAUAGGAUGAGGAGAAAAAGGAGCAAUCUGACCAAGGAGGGGAUCGCGUCUAAUUAUUUAGUUUGUGAGGCAAUGGAUUACCAAGGUGAUGAUCAGUAGCUGGUCCAAGUGGAUGAUCAACCACAUUGGAAUUGAGAAACGACCCAGACUCCUACGGGAGGUAGCAGUGGAGAAUUUUCUGCAAUGGAUAAAAUCUUGACAGAGCAAUGUCACAUGAAGGCAGAAGGCCCACGUGUCAUGAAAUUAUUUUCUUGGAGAAGAAAUAAUGACGGUAUCUAAGGAAUAAACAUCGACUAACUCUGUGCCAGCAACCGUGGUAAGACAGAGGAUGCAAGCGUUAUCCAGAAUGAUUGGGCGUAAAGCGUCUAUAGGUGGAUUUUCAAGUCUAUCGUCAAAUCCCAGGGCUCAACCCUAGACAGGUGGUGGAAAAUACCAAGCUGUAGUAUGGUAGGGGAAGAGGGAAUUUUCAUGGAGCGGUGUAAUGCGUUCAUAUUGAAAAUAACACCAAUGACAAAAGCACUCUGUUGGGCCGACACUGACACUGAGAGACGAAAGCUAGGGGAGCAAAUGGGAUUAGAUACCCCAGUAGUCCUAGACAUAAAUGAUGGAUACUAAGUGUUGUGCGUAUCGACCCACAUAGUGUUGUAGCUAACGCGUUAAGUAUCCCACCUAGGGAGUACGUUUGCAAGAAUGAAACUCAAAGGAAUUGACGGGGGCCCACACAAGCGGUGGAGCAUGUGGUUCAAUUCGAUGCAAAGCGAAGAACCUUACCAAGGCUUGACAUGUCGUGAAUCCUCCUGAAAGAGAGGAGUUGCUUCAGGAACGUGGACAUAGGUGGUGCAUGGCUGUCAUCAUCUCGUGUCGUAAGGUGUUUUGUUAAGUCCCCCAACGAGCUCAACCCUCAUGUUUAGUUCCUAGCAUUGAGUUUGGAACCCUAAACAGACUGUCGGUGAUAAGCCGAGGAAGGUGAGGAUAACGUCAAGUCAUCAUGCCCAUUACUCCCUGGGCGACACACGUGCUACAAUGACCGGGGAAAAGGGUCUCGACCCCACGAGGGCACGCUAACCUAAAAAACUCGGCCUCAGUUUAGAUUGUAGGUUGCAACUCGCCUGUAUGAAGUCGGAAUUGCUAGUAAUCUUCGGUCAACCAUACGACGAUGAAUCUGUUCCCGGGCCUUGUACACACCACCCGUCACACUAUGGGAGCUGGUCGUGCCCCAAGUUAUUACCUUAGCUGCAAGGAGGGGGAUGUCGAAGGCUGGGCUAGUGACUGGAGUGAAUUCGUAACAAGGUAGUCGUACUGGAAGGUGUGGCUGGAUCACCUCCUUU